CUUGGCAGAGGAGGAGACAGGCAGCCAGGUUCUCCUCGGGUGGUUACGUGGAGGAUGUACUUUGACCGGGUGACCACAGGACAGUACCAAAGUUCUGGAAAAACCUAACUUGCUACAAAUAAAUCCAGUCCGUGUUGCCUGGUAUCUUCAAUUCACAUUCAGCCUGUAUGAAAUCAUGACACACUUUGAAAAUCAGGACCUGCUGAUGAAGCGACCUGGGCAUGAGAGCCAGAAGAGGAUCUUCUCUGUAUUCCCUGAUCGUGACUACCUUUCACUAAGCCUCUCUGUGUGUUUUUUCUUGUUUGU